GCUGGUGUAGCCCAGGUGGUUAGAGCGCUUGCCUCACAUGCAAGAGGCCGGGGGUUCGAGUCCCUCCACCAGCACCA
rnacentral:tRNA from 1 species